GCGCCACUAUAAAUACCCACACGUUCCCCUCUCUUUAUAAAUAAAAGGACAAAAGAGGAACAAAUUUCAGAGAAAUAAAGACCCGGCUAUGAGGAAUAGAACAACUAAGAGAUUAUCCACGGCGGAGCUCCUGGAAUUGCCGCCGUUGAACAUGGCGGCAGCGAGGAGCCCCACCUUGUCACCGCCAGAAUCUCCUGUGGAGCAAUUCGAGUUCAAACUCAAUGGAUUUACCACCUCAACCACCAAACUGACAUCAUCAAAGAAGAAAAGCUGCAAAAACAGCCGUGUAGGUGCAUCCGCCUUCAAGAUGAAGCAGCCUACUGGAAUCGCGGCACCAUCGCCGAAAAGCGUGAGCACAAUUUCUGAUCUGAAGGAUCAGGCUUCUAUUAAACUGGAAUCCAUCAAGUACCAGUUGGAUUCAUCACGCUCUGAGAUUGUGAAGGAUAUGGAAGCAUCACAGUUCCGUCUCCAGAAACGCCUUAAGCUUCAGAAACAAGCAUGUCAGCAAGUAAUGGAUGCAGCAGAAAAGGAAUAUAAGAAGAUGUCUGGACGAAUUAAUGAAGGUCAAGAUGCAAUACAGGCUUCAUAUGCGAAAUUCUUAGCAGCAGCACAGGCCAGUGCAUCUCACUACACAAGACAAAGAUGCAGUGUUGCAUAAGCCCUUUUGCGUAAAAUAAAAAUUGUUAAGAUGGCUACAUGAAUGUCAUUUUACUGAAAAGGUAAUGUAUGUACAGAAUGUCUACAGCAUGUAACAAUAUUUCGUUGAAUUUUGUUUGUUCAAAAUUACAGUACUGAAAACAUCUAUCCCAGAGCUUUCACAAUCUUUUGAGAAGCCUAUUGAUUCGCUCAAGAGUCACUAUGGGAUCUCGUCAACUUCAGCUUGACAGACGGAAUUUUCACCCUUUGGAAUAAUUUCUUGGGAAUUGCUGAACGGUUCUAGGUGGUCAUUUUUGGCAUUGAUAUAAUUCUUUCUGCUUGUAUAAAUCAGUCUCAUUUCACUGUUGAAUUGGUAAAUCAGUUGCUUUCUUAGGUUGGUUAGUGACCCUGGCACAUCCACAUGGAGUUCUUCAUAACUAUCAAUAAAUUUCUUUUA